rnacentral:tRNA from 1 species
GCCGGGGUGGCGGAAUGGCAGACGCAGCGGACUUAAAAUCCGCCGGACUUUGUCCUUGUGGGUUCGAGUCCCGCCCCCGGCACCA